ensembl:snoRNA
AUCCUUUUGUAGUUCAUGAGCAUAAUGAUUGGAUAUUCACACACAUGUGUAAGAUGUGCCACCCUUGAACCUUGUUACGACCUUGGCACGUUACCCAUCUGACC